ACGCUCGACACCUACGGGAGGUAGCAGUGGGGAAUAUUGCACAAUGGGGGAAACCCUGAUGCAGCGACGCCGCGUGGAGGAAGAAGGUCUUCGGAUUGUAAACUCCUGUUGUUGGGGAAAAAGAGGAUGGUACCCAACAAGGAAGUGACGGCUAACUACGUGCCAGAGCCGCGGUAAUCUGAGCGGGCUGGCAAGGC
rnacentral:rRNA from 1 species